UAUCUCUGUAGAGUCUGCAUAUCAAUAAGCGGAGGAAAAGAAACUAACUAGGAUUCCCUUAGUAACGGCGAGUGAAGCGGGAAGAGCUCAAAUUUGAAAUCUUCAAGGUUCUACCUUGACGAAUUGUAGUUUAAAGAAGUGUUUUCUGUUGGAGUUUUGGUAAAAGUUCUUUGGAAUAGGACAUCAUAGAGGGUGAGAAUCCCGUAUUUGACCAUUACUUUCAGCUGUGUGAUACACUUUCAAAGAGUCGGAUUGUUUGGGAAUGCAGUCCAAAAUGGGUGGUAAAUUUCAUCUAAAGCUAAAUACUGGCGAGAGACCGAUAGCGAACAAGUACCGUGAGGGAAAGAUGAAAAGAACUUUGAAAAGAGAGUUGAACAGUACGUGAAAUUGUCAAAAGGGAAGCGUUUGACACCAGUGUUGUUUUCUCGAAAAUCAAUUAAAAAAUGAUUGGAUUUUGUGUUGUAUUGACUUUAUCAGCUUUCCUGCACUCUUUUCUUGUCUUUUUUAAUGCACUUUUCGUUUAACAAGUCAACAUCAAUUUCUUUUGUUGUAAAAGAGUCAUUGGAAGGUGGCUUUCUUUUCGGAGAAAGUGUUUAUAGCCUUCGACUUCUGCAGUCGGAGAGAUUGAGGUCUGCAGCGUAGAUCCUUCGGGGUUAGAUGCAUUUGUGCUAAGUUAUAGCCUUUCAUAGACAACUUGUUGACUAUGAUCAGUCAUGUAGCUUACUCGCUUAUGUUAUUUUACCUACGCUUAGGAUGUUGAUCUCUCACAGUCGAGC
rnacentral:rRNA from 1 species